CCUUAAGAAAUUGAUCUGGGGGUAAAGCAUUGUAGUCGGUGGUUUGUCACGGGUAGAAAUGUGGGUGGAACAGAAACGUAGUAGAAAAAAUUGGCGCCACUACUACAAAAAGCGCGCGAAAUAAUUUGCCAGCAACCAUUUUAAUUAUGCGGAAAAGCGUUCCGAAGUAAGUAAGGAUGCCGCUACGAGAGAGGGAGAUAGCGAUACAUAUGACGAUUUCGAAGAAACGGUUAUUCGACAGCCUCCAGCGAGUUCACUCGCUCACCAAUCGCUCGAGAUGAUACUAACUGAAAUUCUUCAGUAGGUGCAAAAUCUUCAAGAAGAAAUAAGGCAAAACAGAUUAGUGCAAGCAAACCCGGUUGCCACCGACGAAAUAAUUGCGACGGCAUCCAGCGUAAUCGGUCGUUCUCAAGCUAGCUCCCAGCCCGCUCCGACACGUAAACUAUACGAUUUGCCGGAAUUUGAUGGGCGGCCAGAAGACUGGCCGAUGUUUAAAGAAACUUUUUUAAUGACAAGUGAAGAGUAUCAAUACAGUGACACUCAAAAUAUGAUGCGGCUACAAAAGACGGUCAAAGGCAAGGCGAGAGACACUAUCGAAUGCUUAUUGAUUCAUAGCAGAAACGUAUCUCAAAUUAUUAAAGUCUUAGGGGAGCGUUUUGGAAAGCCGGAACAGCUAGUGAAGAGCCAAAUUAACAAAAUUAGAAAUAUUGCCCCAAUUUGCGAAAGUCGCAUUGAGCAACUAGUGACAUUCGCGACCAAAGUCCAGAAGUUGUCUUCGUUUCUUCAGGCGGCUGACUGCGAACACCAUUUGUCCAAUCCGACGAUGAUGGAAGAACUGCUGCUGAAGCUUCCGGUACAAAGAUGCAUCGAGUGGGUACGUCAUGCUACAUCAAUUGUUCCGAGACCAACAAUUUGUCACUUCAGCGAAUGGCGAAGAGCUGUCAACGAUUGUGAGCUCAGCCUGCGCGUAUACGGGUUCGGAGCAACGCCAAAAUAAAUAUGAGGGGCGUCCGAGGUUUUUCCACGCGAGCGAGGCUAUCAGUGACGGUUCAUCGCGAACGAAGUGUGAUGCAUGGGCAGAGAGACACCGGUUAAGUAAAUGCAGGAGAUUUCUGGCGAUGGAUCUCGGUGACAGGUGGCGUCUAAUUCGUCGAAAAAGGCUGUGUUUCAACUGCUUGAAGGGAAACCAUCGCAGCAAUGCUUGUGAAGAACAGCACGAAUGCGGAGUUAGGGGUUGUACGAAAAUGUUGCACGCACUUCUUCAUGAACCCAGAGAUCGAGAGUGGCAGUUAGCGAAGCAAGGGCAGCGGGGGUAGGCAUCACAGUCGACACCGCAGUUAGCCACAUAACAGACUUUACCAUCGGCAUCAGGACAUGCGGCGUAGAGGCAUGGGGCAUCUGAGGCAGAGCUACAGCAAGACUUUACGAAUACUAUAGGGCAUAGUCCCGCGCCGAACUUAUUAUUUAAGAUAUUCCCCGUGUUGCUAUAUGCCAAUGGUAAGGAAAUUAAGUGCUACGCGUUCUUCGAUGAACGGUCAGCCAUAUUUUUGAUAAAUAGUGAGUUAGCAACGCGCCUCGGGCUUAGGGGCGAUAGCGAGAAUUUGACGUUACAGUGGAUUGGUAGCACGACCGUUACAGAACCUUCGCGUAGGGUGAGUGUACAGAUUUCUGGUGUCGGUCGUAACCGCAGGAAGUUUACAAUGCGUGAUGUUCGCACGGUUUCGAACCUUCAGUUACCAAUGCAGUCACUUAGUAUAUCUGAUCUUCAUUACAAGCACCGACACUUACCGAUCUGGCAAUAUAGCGACGCUACACCAGAGUUGUUGAUCGGCUUAGAUAACGCGCACAUUGGUAUUCCGCGACGUACAGCAUACGAUGGCAGCAGAGGACAUGCAGUAGUACUCACCAAACUCGGUUGAGUUAUCUAUGGGACGGCAAAUACUCUAACUCAAGCACGCUAUCACUCUGUUUGCAAGGGUAAGAGAUGAAACGUCCGACAAGCCGGAGGAUUCGUGGACGAUUUUAUAACCAACGAGAACAUGGGCGUAAGUGAGGUGAAGCAGGUGGCCGAGCCUCAAUACGUAGCACGAGCCAAGAAACUUUUGAAUGAAGAUACUAAGCGCGAUGGUCGUAAAUUUGAAACAUGUUUGUUGUGGAGGCGGGACGACGUGAAGCUUCCAGAGAGCCGCAAGAUGGCGGAGAAUAGAUUUCUAGCUUUGGAAAGAAAGUUUAGAGGUGAUAACCAUCUGAAGAGAGUAUAUACAACAAUCAUGGCGGAAUAUGUUGAGAAGGGUUACUGCCGCAAGCUGAGCAAGGAGGAAGCAGAGACGACAAGCGAACGUACGUGGUACUUACCUCAUUUUGGCGUAUACAACCCUAACAAACCAGGGAAACUCAGGCUCGUUUUCGAUGCUGCAGCAGAAUCGCAGGGCGUCUCGCUGAACUCAGAGCUACUAAGUGGGCCUGAUCUUUCGCAGCCGUUAGCAACAGUCCUCAUGAAAUUCAGACAGAAGCCUAUUGGAGUCUGUGCGGAUAUCGUCGAGAUGUUCCAUCAAGUGAGGAUAAGAGAUGAAGAUUUGACCUCACAGCGUUUCUUGUGGACAGCUGAUCCUGGAGUGCCGGUGGAGGAGUACGUUAUAAACGUAAUGACGUUUGGGGCUACGUGUUCGCCGUGCUCAGCGCAGUUCGUGAAGAAUAAAAAUGCGGAAGAUUUUAAAGAGCGAUUCCCGGAAGCUGCGGCGGCGAUCGUAAACAACCAUUACGUCGACGAUUUCGUGCAUUGUUUUUCAAACGCAGAUGAGGCCUUGAGAGUUACGAAGCAGGUUAUCUAUAUUCAUGAAAAUGGGGGCUUCGAACUUAAAAGGUUCGUAUCUAACUCGCAACUCGUUAGAAGCCUAAAUAAACAGAGUCCACUUUUACCUCUUCUGAAUCUCGAUAGGGAAAACGCAAGGAUGUUUCAAAAAGUGCUUGGGAUGUUCUGGGACACGGAACAAGAUGAAUUGAAAUUUAUUUUAUCCUUUGGAAAGGUUAACCAAGACGUGUUGAAGGAGAAGCGGCGUCCGACAAAUCGAGAAGUUCUCAGUAUGGCUAUGUCCGUGUUCGAUCCCUUUGGGAUCGCCGCAGAGUACACCCUAGAAGCAAAAUUAGUCCUGCAAAUGAUAUGGCGAGAGCGAGUCGAUUGGGAUGGAGGCAUACCCAAUGCAGUGUACGACAGAUGGCGAAAGUGGCUGCGAAUGUUGCCUGAAUUGGUGAAAGUAAGCAUACCACGUUACGGAGCUGCAUUUAUGAAAGCGCCGGCCGAGCUGCAUGUGUUUGUAGAUGCCAGCGAGAUGGCCUACGCUGCUGUUUCUUACUGGAGGAUAACAGACGACAAUGGUAACAUUCAGCUGACAUUCGUCGCGGGUAAAACUAAGUGCGCGCCACUAAAACUCAUGUCCGUGCCUCGUCUCGAGCUGCAGUCAGCCGUGCUCGCCACGCGUCUUAGGGAAAGCAUUGUCGAAGGUCACGAGAAGAUUCCGUGUAGUGUCGGGAUGUGGUCUGACUCAGAACGGUCCUAUCUUGGAUAAAAUCCGACCACCGCCGCUAUAAACCUUACGUGGCACACCGAUUUAAUGAGAUUCUGGAUGGCAGUGGCAUCAACGACUGGAGGUGGUUACCCAACGCAUUAAACCCCGCAGACCACAGGACGCGUACCAGAGAUGAAAGACGAGACUCACUCUGGAUCACGGGUCCGAAAUUCCUGAAAGAAGAGGAGACACGCUGGCCUCCAAAGGAAACGUACGAGGGCACGAACGUCGAGCUGCGUAACAAAUUUGCUAUUCUGUUAAUUAAAACCGAUACUACAUUUUUUAGGAAAUUUUCAUCCUUUACGAGAUUGAAGCGAGUUGUUGGCUGGAUACUACGAUUCCGAGAAAAUUGCCGCAGAACAAGAGCGACACGAGUCAAUGGCGUCCUGAUGGUGUCCGAGUUGAGGCGAGCUGAGACAGCUGUUAUUAAGGCAACACAAAUUGAGGUUUUCCUGGACGAAUAUCACACCCUGCGUGCAAACAAGCAAAUAGAUAAAAGUAGCGCGUUGUGGACCUUAAGUCCGACUAUGGACAAGGAAGGAGUAAUAAGGCUGGGUGGUCGGAUAGAUGUGGCCGUCGCAAUCCCCACUUACACCAGGCGCCCCGUUAUCCUACCAAGAAGAUGCCACCUAACAGAUAAUCUUAGAUCACUUCCACCGCAUAUGGAAACACCAAAACGAGUCAACGAUAAUAGCAGAAGUAGGUGCGAGGUGCGACGAGCCGCUAAGAGAUGCCAGAUUUGCAUGAAGGAAAAAGCAGCACCACAUUAACCAAAGAUGGGACAACUGCCGAUCGACCGCUUAACACCGUUUGUUAGGCCUUUCACUUACGUCGGGCUAGACUUUAUAGGGCCGUUCUCUAUCGUCAUCGGCAGACGGCGCGAGAGGCGCUGGAUUGCUCUCUUUACGUGUCUGACCACGCGAGCGAUACACCUCGAAAUAGCGAAAGACCUCUCUACAGACGCCUGCUUGAUAUGCAUACGUAAUUUCGUGUGUAGACGCGGAACCCCGGUGCGCAUUCGCUCCGAUAACGGAACAAAUUUCGUCGGUGCGGAUAAAGAGCUGAAAAGACAGCUGACUGAGUUCGACAAGGGCAAUAUAGCCAACGCGCUGGCCAGUCAUAAUAUAGAAUGGAUUUUCAAUUGCCCAUUGAAUCCGCAUGCUGGAGGGUGCUGGGAACGUUUGGUAAGAAGUGUUAAGAGAGCAAUGGGCCACGCAGUACACAAUGAAAGUCUUCAGGAGCACGCCCUAUAUAGUCUGAUGUGUGAGGCGGGAAAUAUCGUCAAUUCGUCAUUAAAGCCCUUAGCUGUGGGCGACAUCGUGCUCAUCUGCGAUAGAAGCUUGCACCAAUGGAGGUGGCCCAUGGGACGAAUAUUCGAAGUGUUCCCGGGUAAAGACGACCAGGUCAGAGCCGCACAAAUCCAGACGAAGACGGGCACAUUUAAGCGGCCGGCCUGCAUCUUAGCUAAGCUGGAGUUGGGUAAAUCUGGUUAGAUUUACGGGGGAGGGGCUGUUAGCGCAGUCACUUGCUUGUUCACUCAAUUGUAUUAAUCUAUUUGUACCUUAAUGUUGAUUUUGUAGUUACUUGCUUGUUCAAGCGAACCUAUCCUCUACUGUACCUUAAUGUAAUGUAAUAAUUGUUAUCGAUUUCUAAUUUUGUAAAAACGACCACAUCACUAAUGAAAAAAUCCAAACUCAUUCGUGAUCUGGCGUUUCAAGAGGAGGAAAGCACACAAAAGUGAAAUAAAGGAUCACGCCUUGGAAAGCGUUAUUGUCAGCAAAAGGCGAACUCUUAUUAUUUUGUUCCUCGCAAGAUCGCGUUUCUACACCCGGAAUAACAAUUCCGACAUUCUUAUUACACCUUAUUCCAUUUUAUUCUAUGCGUCAAUAAUACACUUAUUCCGACUAAUUCUCCUCUAUUCCGUAAAUAUUCUUAUUCCGGCAUAUUCGGAGUGUCAAUAAUA
rnacentral:misc_RNA from 1 species